AAUCAACGCUGGCGGCGUGCCUCAGACAUGCAAGUCGAACGAGAAGGCUCCUUCGGGAGCCGGAAAGUGGCGCACGGGUGAGUAACACGUGGGUAAUUUACCUUCGGGUGGGGAACAACAGCCGGAAACGGCUGCUAAUACCGCAUAACGUAGCGGCACCUAAUGGUGACAGUUGUUAAAGCGGGGGAUCGCAAGACCUCGCGCCUGAAGAGAAGCCUGCGGCAGAUUAGGUAGUUGGGAGGUAAUGGCUCACCAAGCCCGCGAUCUGUAGCCGGCCUGAGAGGGCGGUCGGCCACACUGACACUGAACAACGGGUCAGACUCCUACGGGAGGCAGCAGUCGGGAAUUUUGGGCAAUGGGCGCAAGCCUGACCCAGCAACGCCGCGUGAAGGAUGAAGUUUUUCGGAAUGUAAACUUCACAAGAAUGGG
rnacentral:rRNA from 1 species